rnacentral:tRNA from 1 species
UAAUAUAAGUUAUAAAAACUUUUAGAUUUUUACUCUAAUAAAGAGAAUUACUUCUCUAUUAAUA